rnacentral:rRNA from 1 species
GGGAAUCUUCGGCAAUGGGGGCAACCCUGACCGAGCAACGCCGCGUGAGUGAAGAAGGUUUUCGGAUCGUAAAGCUCUGUUGUAAGUCAAGAACGGGUGUGAGAGUGGAAAGUUCACACUGUGACGGUAGCUUACCAGAAAGGGACGGCUAACUACGUGCCAGCAGCCGCGGUAAUACGUAGGUCCCGAGCGUUGUCCGGAUUUAUUGGGCGUAAAGCGAGCGCAGGCGGUUUGAUAAGUCUGAAGUUAAAGGCUGUGGCUCAACCAUAGUUCGCUUUGGAAACUGUCAAACUUGAGUGCAGAAGGGGAGAGUGGAAUUCCAUGUGUAGCGGUGAAAUGCGUAGAUAUAUGGAGGAACACCGGUGGCGAAAGCGGCUCUCUGGUCUGUAACUGACGCUGAGGCUCGAAAGCGUGGGGAGCGAACAGGAUUAGAUACCCUGGUAGUCCACGCCGUAAACGAUGAGUGCUAGGUGUUGGAUCCUUUCCGGGAUUCAGUGCCGCAGCUAACGCAUUAAGCACUCCGCCUGGGGAGUACGACCGCAAGGUUGAAACUCUAAGUGAA